GACGAACGCUGGCGGCGUGCUUAACACAUGCAAGUCGAACGGAAAGGCCUGCUUUCCCUUGUGGAUUGCGGGUACUCGAGUGGCGAACGGGUGAGUAACACGUGAGCGAUCUGCCCCCAACUUGGGUAUAAGCCUGGGAAACUGGGUCUAAUUCCCGAUAGGACUGCAGGGUGGUGCCUGUGGUGGAAAACGAUUUUCUAGUGGUUGGGGAUGAGCUCGCGGCCUAUCAGCUUGUUGGUGGGGUAAUGGCCUACCAAGGCGGCGACGGGUAGCCGGCCUGAGAGGGUGGACGGCCACAUUGGGACUGAGAUACGGCCCAGACUCCUACGGGAGGCAGCAGUGGGGAAUAUUGCACAAUGGGCGGAAGCCUGAUGCAGCGACGCCGCGUGGGGGAUGGCGGCCUUCGGGUUGUAAACUCCUUUCGACCGCGAGGAAGCCACCUGGUUGGAAGGGUGGUGACGGUAGUGGUAGAAGAAGCACCGGCUAACUACGUG
rnacentral:rRNA from 1 species